rnacentral:ribozyme from 1 species
AGAAGAAGGAAAAGAAGGAGAAGAAAGAAAAGAAGGAAAAGAAGAGAAAGACGGAGUAGAUUCCUUUUUUGAUGGAUUACCCUCUUUGUUAUUUUAUUAGAAAUAGUGCUUAUUUCAGCUCAGCGGUG